rnacentral:rRNA from 1 species
GCAGUCGAGCGGACAGAUGGGAAGCUUGCUCCCUGAUGUUAGCGGCGGACGGGUGAGUAACACGUGGGUAACCUGCCUGUAAGACUGGGAUAACUCCGGGAAACCGGGGCUAAUACCGGAUGGUUGUUUGAACCGCAUGGUUCAAACAUAAAAGGUGGCUUCGGCUACCACUUACAGAUGGACCCGCGGCGCAUUAGCUAGUUGGUGAGGUAACGGCUCACCAAGGCAACGAUGCGUAGCCGACCUGAGAGGGUGAUCGGCCACACUGGGACUGAGACACGGCCCAGACUCCUACGGGAGGCAGCAGUAGGGAAUCUUCCGCAAUGGACGAAAGUCUGACGGAGCAACGCCGCGUGAGUGAUGAAGGUUUUCGGAUCGUAAAGCUCUGUUGUUAGGGAAGAACAAGUACCGUUCGAAUAGGGCGGUACCUUGACGGUACCUAACCAGAAAGCCACGGCUAACUACGUGCCAGCAGCCGCGGUAAUACGUAGGUGGCAAGCGUUGUCCGGAAUUAUUGGGCGUAAAGGGCUCGCAGGCGGUUUCUUAAGUCUGAUGUGAAAGCCCCCGGCUCAACCGGGGAGGGUCAUUGGAAACUGGGGAACUUGAGUGCAGAAGAGGAGAGUGGAAUUCCACGUGUA